UAGAAGCAAGUGUGUGUAGUGUGUACAUGGGUCUGAAGCAGUUUGUCCAUUGUCUACUUUACCAGGUAUUCAGGUUCCAUACCAACCAGCUGCAGUCCUUGGUUCGUGAGUUCAGUUCCAGCUCCACAGACCCAACAAGAAGAGGUGCCAUGGUUGGACUUGGUCUUGGUAUGUUGUUUAUUGGUGUCUGCUCUGGACUGUUGGCUGGCUAUUUCAUCUACCGGCGCGUCCUCUCGGCCGAUAUACCUUAUGAACUGACCAAGUAACAGAUGAGAUCAAUGGGAGUGGUGGGGGCACUGGUGGCAGUGGGGAUGGCUCUGAUGGCAGCAGCAGAAGUGGUGGUGGUGGUGGUGGUACAGUGGCAGUGGUGGUCGCUGAGGCGGUAGUUGUGUAUAACUGUCUCUGUGGACAAUUAUAUACAGACCCUAAUUUGGUGAGGAGAUCCCAGAACAAGACUGAAACUAGCCAGUUUGACACACACACACACACACAUAAUGGGCUUUUUACGAUUUUCAUCUCCCCAAUCUGCACACACAAGGUUGUGGUCAGCCCAUGGCUAUAGUAGAAGACAUUUGCCCAAGGUACCAUGCAGUGGGACUGAACCCAGAAUCAUGUGGUUGAGAAGCAAUCUUAUUCCUAUUGUCAUAGAUUUCUUGAACUGAGGUUGAUAAGGGGUGGAAGCAACAGUGCCCAUGCUACACAUUCACCACCCAACACUACAACACAAACCACACAAUACAUGUUCGUAUACAGUUAGCACCCAAUACUAUAACACUCUAUUAUUAUUAUUAUUAUUAUUAUUAUUAUUAUUAAGAUGGUGAGCAGAAUCGUUAGCAUGCUGGAUGAAGUACUCAGUGGUAUUUUGCCAUCGCUCCGUUCUGAGUUCAAAUUCUGCCAAGGUAGACUUUGCUUUUCAUCCUUCUGGGGUCAAUAAAAUAAGUACCAGUUGAAUAUUGAGGGCCAAUGUAAUCAACUCAUCCCCUCUCCCAAAAUUGCUGCCCUUGUGGCAAAAUUUAAAAUUAUAAUAAUAAUAAUAAUAAUAAUUAUUAUUAUAGACAUUGCGCAGUGUCCAAUAUCGUGAGGUUGUUGAUUGAAGAUAUUGUAUCUUCCAGGGGUUAGGGUUUGUACCAUUUGUCAAGUCACAACAAGGACCUCACACAGACCCUUCUACAUGCAAUAUGCAUGCAGUUCCAAGUAAUGGCAACCUUUGCAAUACACCUAGGCUGUAAGGUAUUUCUAGUUUAUGCCAACAUCUAUCUAUCUAUCUAUCUAUCCCUCUAUAUACACCCCUUAGUAAGUAUCCAUGCACUUCAUCAAGAAAGCAAGCUGGCAGAGUCAUUAGAAUGCUGGGGGAAAAUGCUUGGCAGCAUUUCGUCCAUUUUUCCAUCCUGAGUUCAAAUCCCACCAAGGUCAAUUUUACCUUUCAUCCUUUCAGGGUCAAUAAAUCAAGUACCAUGAAAUACUGGGGGUCAAUGUAAUUGACAAGUCCCCUCCCCCAAAAUUUCAGGCCUUAUGCCUUGAGUUGAAAGGAUUAUUAUUUUAAUCAUCAUCAUCAUCAUUGUCAUUAAUAUUAACAAGAAAAAUAAUAUUUCAAAAUGAGCCAUUCUCCCACACUGAUCCAACUCACAAAAAUAUAAAGAAGUCUGAAAAAAAUAUAUAAAAAUACAAUUUUUUUUCCAAAAUCAAUUAAAAAAUAAAAUUGAAAAUUUUUAAUGGC